rnacentral:rRNA from 1 species
ACUCAAAUGAAUUGACGGGGGCCCGCACAAGCGGUGGAUCAUGUGGUUUAAUUCGAAGCAACGCGAAGAACCUUACCUGGGUUUGACAUCCUUGGACAUCCGUAGAGAUACGGCUUCUGUAGCAAUACAGCCAAGUGACAGGUGCUGCAUGGCUGUCGUCAGCUCGUGUGGUGACAUGUUGGGUUAAGUCCCGCAACGAGCGCAACCCUUGUCUUUAGUUGCCAGCAUUCAGUUGGGCUCUCUAAAGAGACUGCCGUGGUGAACACGGAGGAAGGUGGGGAUGACGUCAAGUCCUCAUGGCCUUUAUAUCCAGGGCGACACACGUGAUACAAUGGUCGAUACAGAGGGAAGCGAAUGCGCGAGCAGGAGCUAAUCUCAAAAAGUCGAUCUCAGUUCGGAUUGGAGUCUGCAACUCGACUCCAUGAAGUUGGAAUCGCUAGUAAUCGCGGAUCAGCACGCCGCGGUGAAUACGUUCCCGGGCCUUGCACACACCGCCCGU